rnacentral:rRNA from 1 species
GAUUAAGUUAUUAAGGGCGCACGGUGGAUGCCUUGGCACUAGAAGCCGAUGAAGGACGUUACUAACGACGAUAUGCUUUGGGGAGCUGUAAGUAAGCUUUGAUCCAGAGAUUUCCGAAUGGGGAAACCCAGCAUGAGUUAUGUCAUGUUAUCGAUAUGUGAAUACAUAGCAUAUCAGAAGGCACACCCGGAGAACUGAAACAUCUUAGUACCCGGAGGAAGAGAAAGAAAAUUCGAUUCCCUUAGUAGCGGCGAGCGAAACGGGAAGAGCCCAAACCAACAAGCUUGCUUGUUGGGGUUGUAGGACACUCUAUACGGAGUUACAAAGGACGACAUUAGACGAAUCAUCUGGAAAGAUGAAUCAAAGAAGGUAAUAAUCCUGUAGUCGAAAAUGUUGUCUCUCUUGAGUGGAUCCUGAGUACGACGGAGCACGUGAAAUUCCGUCGGAAUCUGGGAGGACCAUCUCCUAAGGCUAAAUACUCUCUAGUGACCGAUAGUGAACCAGUACCGUGAGGGAAAGGUGAAAAGCACCCCGGAAGGGGAGUGAAAUAGAACCUGAAACCGUGUGCUUACAAGUAGUCAGAGCCCGUUAAUGGGUGAUGGCGUGCCUUUUGUAGAAUGAACCGGCGAGUUACGAUUUGAUGCAAGGUUAAGCAGUAAAUGUGGAGCCGUAGCGAAAGCGAGUCUGAAUAGGGCGUUUAGUAUUUGGUCGUAGACCCGAAACCAGGUGAUCUACCCUUGGUCAGGUUGAAGUUCAGGUAACACUGAAUGGAGGACCGAACCGACUUACGUUGAAAAGUGAGCGGAUGAACUGAGGGUAGCGGAGAAAUUCCAAUCGAACCUGGAGAUAGCUGGUUCUCUCCGAAAUAGCUUUAGGGCUAGCCUCAAGUGAUGAUUAUUGGAGGUAGAGCACUGUUUGGACGAGGGGCCCCUCUCGGGUUACCGAAUUCAGACAAACUCCGAAUGCCAAUUAAUUUAACUUGGGAGUCAGAACAUGGGUGAUAAGGUCCGUGUUCGAAAGGGAAACAGCCCAGACCACCAGCUAAGGUCCCAAAAUAUAUGUUAAGUGGAAAAGGAUGUGGCGUUGCCCAGACAACUAGGAUGUUGGCUUAGAAGCAGCCAUCAUUUAAAGAGUGCGUAAUAGCUCACUAGUCGAGUGACACUGCGCCGAAAAUGUACCGGGGCUAAACAUAUUACCGAAGCUGUGGAUUGUCCUUUGGACAAUGGUAGGAGAGCGUUCUAAGGGCGUUGAAGCAUGAUCGUAAGGACAUGUGGAGCGCUUAGAAGUGAGAAUGCCGGUGUGAGUAGCGAAAGACGGGUGAGAAUCCCGUCCACCGAUUGACUAAGGUUUCCAGAGGAAGGCUCGUCCGCUCUGGGUUAGUCGGGUCCUAAGCUGAGGCCGACAGGCGUAGGCGAUGGAUAACAGGUUGAUAUUCCUGUACCACCUAUAAUCGUUUUAAUCGAUGGGGGGACGCAGUAGGAUAGGCGAAGCGUGCGAUUGGAUUGCACGUCUAAGCAGUAAGGCUGAGUAUUAGGCAAAUCCGGUACUCGUUAAGGCUGAGCUGUGAUGGGGAGAAGACAUUGUGUCUUCGAGUCGUUGAUUUCACACUGCCGAGAAAAGCCUCUAGAUAGAAAAUAGGUGCCCGUACCGCAAACCGACACAGGUAGUCAAGAUGAGAAUUCUAAGGUGAGCGAGCGAACUCUCGUUAAGGAACUCGGCAAAAUGACCCCGUAACUUCGGGAGAAGGGGUGCUCUUUAGGGUUAACGCCCAGAAGAGCCGCAGUGAAUAGGCCCAAGCGACUGUUUAUCAAAAACACAGGUCUCUGCUAAACCGUAAGGUGAUGUAUAGGGGCUGACGCCUGCCCGGUGCUGGAAGGUUAAGAGGAGUGGUUAGCUUCUGCGAAGCUACGAAUCGAAGCCCCAGUAAACGGCGGCCGUAACUAUAACGGUCCUAAGGUAGCGAAAUUCCUUGUCGGGUAAGUUCCGACCCGCACGAAAGGCGUAACGAUUUGGGCACUGUCUCAACGAGAGACUCGGUGAAAUCAUAGUACCUGUGAAGAUGCAGGUUACCCGCGACAGGACGGAAAGACCCCGUGGAGCUUUACUGUAGCCUGAUAUUGAAAUUCGGCACAGCUUGUACAGGAUAGGUAGGAGCCUUUGAAACGUGAGCGAUAGCUUACGUGGAGGCGCUGGUGGGAUACUACCCUAGCUGUGUUGGCUUUCUAACCCGCACCACUUAUCGUGGUGGGAGACAGUGUCAGGCGGGCAGUUUGACUGGGGCGGUCGCCUCCUAAAAGGUAACGGAGGCGCUCAAAGGUUCCCUCAGAAUGGUUGGAAAUCAUUCAUAGAGUGUAAAGGCAUAAGGGAGCUUGACUGCGAGACCUACAAGUCGAGCAGGGUCGAAAGACGGACUUAGUGAUCCGGUGGUUCCGCAUGGAAGGGCCAUCGCUCAACGGAUAAAAGCUACCCCGGGGAUAACAGGCUUAUCUCCCCCAAGAGUUCACAUCGACGGGGAGGUUUGGCACCUCGAUGUCGGCUCAUCGCAUCCUGGGGCUGUAGUCGGUCCCAAGGGUUGGGCUGUUCGCCCAUUAAAGCGGUACGCGAGCUGGGUUCAGAACGUCGUGAGACAGUUCGGUCCCUAUCCGUCGUGGGCGUAGGAAAUUUGAGAGGAGCUGUCCUUAGUACGAGAGGACCGGGAUGGACAUACCUCUGGUGUACCAGUUGUCGUGCCAACGGCAUAGCUGGGUAGCUAUGUGUGGACGGGAUAAGUGCUGAAAGCAUCUAAGCAUGAAGCCCCCCUCAAGAUGAGAUUUCCCAACUUCGGUUAUAAGAUCCCUCAAAGAUGAUGAGGUUAAUAGGUUCGAGGUGGAAGCAUGGUGACAUGUGGAGCUGACGAAUACUAAUCGAUCGAAGACUUAAUCAA